rnacentral:rRNA from 1 species
GACGAACGCUGGCGGCGUGCUUAACACAUGCAAGUCGAACGGAAAGGCCCUGCUUUUGUGGGGUGCUCGAGUGGCGAACGGGUGAGUAACACGUGAGUAACCUGCCCUUGACUUUGGGAUAACUUCAGGAAACUGGGGCUAAUACCGGAUAGGAGCUCCUGCUGCAUGGUGGGGGUUGGAAAGUUUCGGCGGUUGGGGAUGGACUCGCGGCUUAUGCUUGUUGGUGGGGUAGUGGCUUACCAAGGCUUUGACGUGUAGCCGGCCUGAGAGGGUGACCGGCCACAUUGGGACUGAGAUACGGCCCAGACUCCUACGGGAGGCAGCAGUGGGGAAUAUUGCACAAUGGGCGGAAGCCUGAUGCAGCAACGCCGCGUGCGGGAUGACGGCCUUCGGGUUGUAAACCGCUUUCGCCUGUGACGAAGCGUGAGUGACGGUAAUGGGGAAAGAAGCACCGGCUAACUACGU